UACGUAGGGCGCAAGCGUUGUCCGGAAUUAUUGGGCGUAAAGAGCUCGUAGGCGGUCUGUUGCGUCGGCUGUGAAAACCCGGGGCUCAACUCCGGGCCUGCAGCCGAUACGGGCAGACUAGAGGUUCGGCAGGGGAGACUGGAAUUCCUGGUGUAGCGGUGAAAUGCGCAGAUAUCAGGAGGAACACCGGUGGCGAAGGCGGGUCUCUGGGCCGAUACUGACGCUGGAGGGAGCGAAAGCGUGGGGAGCGAACAGG
rnacentral:rRNA from 1 species